rnacentral:piRNA from 1 species
CCAAUCAUUAGAUGUGGCUGUCAAGGU